UAUUAUCUACUGAUAUAAUGAUCUACUGGUCUAACUUUGCUGUAACUGGGAACCCUAACCGGUACGGAAACGGGAGCUGGGUACCUCAGCUGGGUGGAGUCUAUUGGCCGAUCCACUCCCAUGGUUCACGUGAGUACCUGGAGAUACAAACCACCAGGCAUAUAAACAAGACCGGACUCAAAACUACCGAAUGCGAGUUCUGGAAAAGUUUUCUCCCCCAGCUCUUAAAAUCAGCUGAGGAGCCUCUGAUUGAGAAUAAGUUUGAUAAGUGUAGAACGUGUCGGUGUGGUAAGACGGAUAAGUCUGGUUCCUCCUCAUGUACCACCCAUACAUCUCUCAUAGUUUCAACCCUUCUACUCACCCUACUCUCUACAGUACUAGUCGGAACUAUAUUAUGACUAAUGUGGAGGUCCAGACAGCGUCGACAGCUGAUGGACUGGAGACGAUCCGUCGAAUCUCAGGCUAACUCAGACUGGAGAGAGAAUACUCGAGAUACAUGCGUCCUUCAAGAGACAGGAGAAAAUAACAUCAUGUCAAGUGAUAUGUAAUAUAGGAUAUAUACUAGUAUCCUCAGCUAGGAACUUUGCUGUUUGAUACCCAUAGUUAAGAUCCUUAGAUCUAGAUAUCCGCAGUGGGCGCUUUUAAUUUUGUUUUAGAGAAUCUGCUUGAUUUCUUGAUUUCUUUGUUCUCUCAACUCUCAAAUAUUGAUUAAAUUGAUCUGUAGAUUAACAAAGAGAUCAAUAUCAAGCAUUGAUCUCGAUAUCCACAAUACAAGAGUGCCCAGCUCUGGUUUCUAAAAACCUCAGAAUUUAAAUGAUUAAGUGAAAAAAAUAUAAACAAGUCUCAAGGGAUCAUUCAGAACAUGAGACUAUAGUGAUCCUCUUUCAGAGAAAAGGAAGAAACAAUUAUACAAAUAUAUUUUGAAGAUCGAGUUAAAAUUUUGAAGAUUAAAAUGGAGUGGAAAUUUAGUAUUGUUAAGUGAAAUAAAAAAUCUAAUCUAGAUAUAAUGGUUCGUCAGUAAUAUCUCUGAGUGAUCAAAAAAAGUGAAGUGAUUUAAAAAAAAUAAUUGUAAAAUUCACGAUGCUGAUAAUGUUGUUGUUACAUCGUUCCUAGCUAUUGUAAAUAUGUACAUUAUGUAUAUUAUUAUACAAAUUAUUAUUAUUAUCAUUAUAAUUAUAAGUAUUUACAAUCCUUGUUUUUAAAAUAGAAUUUACGCAUUUAAAUACAGUAAUAAAGACAUGUUUUAACAAA